CUGGUACAGGCAUGGGGGGCA
rnacentral:miRNA from 2 species